GAACGCACCGCAAGGUGAGUGGCAGACGGGUGAGUAACGCGUGGGAACCUUCCCUGUGGUACGGAAUAACUUCGGGAAACCGAAGCUAAUACCGUAUAUCUCCUCCGGGAGAAAGAUUUAUCGCCAUAGGAUGGGCCCGCGUUGGAUUAGCUAGUUGGUAGGGUAAUGGCCUACCAAGGCAACGAUCCAUAGCUGGUAUGAGAGGAUGAUCAGCCACACUGGGACUGAGACACGGCCCAGACUCCUACGGGAGGCAGCAGUGGGGAAUAUUGGACAAUGGGGGAAACCCUGAUCCAGCCAUGCCGCGUGAGUGAAGAAGGCCUUAGGGUUGUAAAGCUAUUUUGGCGGGGACGAUAAUGACGGUACCCGCAGAAUAAGCCCCGGCUAACUUAGUG
rnacentral:rRNA from 1 species